rnacentral:lncRNA from 1 species
CUCAAGUGCCGCCAAAGUGGGAGCCCAGGCAGAGGAGGCGCCGAGAGCGAGCGAGGGCUGUGAGGACUGAGAGCACGCUGUCAUCUUUCAGAAGGAGGUCUUAUCUGAUGACUUUUAUUUUCUCCAUGAAGCCGCACAGAAACUCUCUCUGUACCACGUACCUGCUGCCAGAAGCUGGGAAGGAGUGGUGCUGGUGAUUCAAAACUGAUUUUCCUGCCUCUUCGAUGCCUCUUUUAGUGACAUACAGUUAAGACCAGGCACUGCUAGAUUAUCUCCUAACUUUAAAACUUUGGAUGAAUAAUUAUAAAGCAGCAAAUUGGUGUUGCAAAGAGAAGACAUGAAAAGCAGAGUUUAGUAGAUAUUUUCUAUGAUUCACUCUUGAGAGAGAUAACAGAAACUGAAGUGAAGUAUCCUUGAUCUUGGAACUCCAUUCCUCCCCUGCUGAGUGAGAGGAGUCUCAGACUGUGGAAAAUAAAUGGCUGACAGAACAAGAUCAUAGAGUUUUCCUAUAUUCUGUAAGUUACUGACAAAAAGCAGGUUGAGUUAAAACUAAGUCCAUGUAACCCAGCAUGUUGAGAAAGAUCUUUGAGAAAGAGUCCUCAGAUUGUUCUUCAGCUUUGAGAGACUGAAUGGAUCAGACAAGGAUAACCAAAACCUAGACCUUGUUGCUUUAGAGGAGUCAGGAAUCAGCAAAAUAAUUUUGAAACAUAAUAAACAUACUUU